CCUUUCCUCUUCUCCUCAGGGCUCCCACGGGCUGCAGACAGUCAUUAAAAGUGAAUGUUAGGACAACUAUCCCUGCCCUAGACAGGGAGCCCCAGGCCAGGCACUCUGUAUAAAUGACCUGAUUUAGGAUGCUCAGACUCAGAGAAUGAAGAAGAUACAGGCUUGACUCUCACUUCCAACAAGCAAUCACUCUGAACCAGACCUGACCAGCUCUAAAGACAAGCUACCCUCAACUCGUCCAGAAGGGAUCUGAAGCUGCCCUUCAAAGACUCAAACAAGCACUUGAUCUGCCAUCAAAGCAUGUACCUGGCCUUCCUCAGAACCAUCAGCAUUUUGUAUUGCUGGUUUCUCCAACUAAAAGCCCAUAGAGAGCUUUCAUUGUUGUUUGGUUUACCUGCCCGGAUCCUUACCUCCCUCUAGAUUCCAGUCCCUCUUCCAUGCCUUCUCUUUUGGCAGCUCCUGCCUGAAUCAGCUACGCCACGGAUUCACUGAGCUCCAUUUUUUCAGGCCUCAUGUGUCUUCGCUCAGUGUUUCUAACCAGCUCCUUCCUUUUCGCCUUGGGGAAGGAUGUUCCGACAAGGGAAGGAUCAUAUGAAAAGAGCCUCCCAGUCUUCAGUUGGUGUGUAAACAUUUUCCAAUGUAAAGACAGGAACAGAACCACUUAACUAUGAGGAUGCACAGAAACCAAUUAUGGAAAUCUAUGCUGCAGUAAGAGGCAUCGGUAAGAGAGACCGAUUCCACCAGACCAUCAACAUCAAGAAAACAGACACCUCAAACUAAGGUAACCAUGUAAACUGAAGCUACUGUGUAGUGUGGCAAGACAAUGUCAAGAUUCUGGAAAUAUCCAUGCUGACCAAGAGGAAGGUAAUUGAAAUAUGACAUGCUUCCAUGAUGAGAUUCUAUGCCUCUUUAAUCUAAUAAGGCAAAGCUGUAUGCGAGAGAGAAAAAUGCCAUGGACUUUAACAUACUACAGCCCCAAAGACUACAGAAAAAUAAAGCAGAUUACAAGGGAAGGAAGUCGACGAAGCAUGGUAACCCUGGAGGCUAGGCUGUCUAUGGAGUCAUUGUAUUGGCCUCUUACAUUUAUUUGUGUUCCUUGGAGAAAACCCUGGAAUUAACAUGGCAAUAUAAAUAAAAUCAUGUGAAUUUGAA
rnacentral:sRNA from 1 species